CAACGAUGAAGAGUUUGAUCCUGGCUCAGGAUGAACGCUAGCGGCAGGCCUAACACAUGCAAGUCGAGGGGCAGCACGUCUUCGGAUGGUGGCGACCGGCGCACGGGUGCGUAACGCGUAUGCGACCUACCUCUUACAGGGGGAUAGCCCAGAGAAAUUUGGAUUAAUACCCCAUGGCAUCCCGCCACCGCAUGGUGCGCGGGAUUAAAGAUUCAUCGGUAAGAGAUGGGCAUGCGUCCUAUUAGCUAGUUGGUGCGGUAACGGCGCACCAAGGCUACGAUAGGUAGGGGCCCUGAGAGGGGGAUCCCCCACACUGGUACUGAGACACGGACCAGACUCCUACGGGAGGCAGCAGUGAGGAAUAUUGGACAAUGGGCGAGAGCCUGAUCCAGCCAUGCCGCGUGCAGGAAGACUGCCCUAUGGGUUGUAAACUGCUUUUGUACGGGAAGAACCCCGCCCACGUGUGGGCGGCUGACGGUACCGUAAGAAUAAGGAUCGGCUAACUCCGUGCCAGCAGCCGCGGUAAUACGGAGGAUCCGAGCGUUAUCCGGAAUCAUUGGGUUUAAAGGGUCCGUAGGUGGACCAUUAAGUCAGGGGUGAAAGUCUGCGGCUCAACCGUAGAACUGCCCUUGAUACUGGUGGUCUUGAGUCGUUGUGAAGUGGUUGGAAUAUGUGGUGUAGCGGUGAAAUGCAUAGAUAUCACAUAGAACACCGAUUGCGAAGGCAGAUCACUAACAACGUACUGACACUGAUGGACGAAAGCGUGGGGAGCGAACAGGAUUAGAUACCCUGGUAGUCCACGCCGUAAACGAUGGUCACUAGCUGUCCGGGGGCGACCCUGGGCGGCCAAGCGAAAGUGAUAAGUGACCCACCUGGGGAGUACGUUCGCAAGAAUGAAACUCAAAGGAAUUGACGGGGGCCCGCACAAGCGGUGGAGCAUGUGGUUUAAUUCGAUGAUACGCGAGGAACCUUACCAGGGCUUAAAUGUAGGUUGCAUUAGCUAGAGAUAGCUAUUUCUUCGGACUACCUACAAGGUGCUGCAUGGUUGUCGUCAGCUCGUGCCGUGAGGUGUCAGGUUAAGUCCUAUAACGAGCGCAACCCCUGUGGUUAGUUGCCAGCGAGUAAUGUCGGGAACUCUAGCCAGACUGCCGGUGCAAACCGUGAGGAAGGUGGGGAUGACGUCAAAUCAUCACGGCCCUUACGUCCUGGGCUACACACGUGCUACAAUGGUAGGUACAGAGAGCAGCCACGCCGCAAGGCGGAGCGAAUCUACAAAACCUAUCACAGUUCGGAUCGGGGUCUGCAACUCGACCCCGUGAAGCUGGAAUCGCUAGUAAUCGCAUAUCAGCCAUGAUGCGGUGAAUACGUUCCCGGGCCUUGUACACACCGCCCGUCAAGCCAUGGAAGCCGGGAGUGCCUGAAGUCCGUCACCGCAAGGAGCGGCCUAGGGUAAAAUCGGUAACUAGGGCUAAGUCGUAACAAGGUAGCCGUACCGGAAGGUGCGGCUGGAACACCUCCUUUCU
rnacentral:rRNA from 1 species